UUUCUGUGUCAGUGUCACACAGAAAUGUAAAUAUGCUAAUUAGGUAGGCAGGCCUAAGUCAGUCGAUGUGAUCGGAUCGGAUCUACUAGUGCUGCCUUGAUUUGGCUGGCUCUCACGUUAGCCUUUAGCUUGCUAUCAGCAAUGGAUAGUUUUGUGCGGGCUAUUGCUGCUGAUUUAAGAGUAUUAGCGGACAGUUUUGAUCACAACGAACCUACUGACUAUCUUAAGUUUCGUUUCGAGAGAUUACUCGAAGAUUUAGCACAACUCUCAGCUGAUAGGGACAUAGAAGUUGACGUGGUGCUAGAUGGUCUCCAAGAAGCUGCCCACGAACUUCAAAUCCGCUCAGUGACAGAGGAAGAGGGAGCGACGUUUGGACGUCCACAAUACAUUUUACCUCCUGAUAUAAUUGAAGCUCACCUGCUUUUGGGACACACCGUUGGAGACAUUUCACAGUUGUUCGGUGUGUGUCAAAGAACAAUUCAUCGGAGGACGGCACAGUAUGGGAUAAGUGUGGUCACACAUGGUUGUUGUCACUCUGGACCAAACACCGCACCACUGGAGGGAGUCAUGUUUCCAUGACUGCCGGUAGAAAUCAGAAAGCGCUGAAAAAGUCCAUGAUCUAUUGAUUCCACUGGACGACAAAGAUCUUGAUGAAACGGUGACUCAGAUUCUGCGGCACCAUCCCAACUGUGGAUACAAAAUGAUGCUUGGGCACCUGAAUGCAUCCGCAUACAGAGGCAACGUGUGCAGGAAUCCAUGCAGCGUGUGGAUCCUCAUGGAGUUUUGAUGCGCACCCUUCAGCUAAACCCACGAAGGCGCAGGAGGUACUCUGUACCAGCACCAAACAGUUUGUGGCACAUCAAUGGCAAUCAUAAAUUGAUAAGGUAUGUGUAGAACAUCAUAAACUAGUUUUACAAAAUAUCAUAGCAACCUUAGUCCAGUGAAUAAUCCUAGCCUUGAAAGCCAGAUACUUUUUAUCCUGUGUCGUCAACUAAAAUUUUGAUUUAUUCAUGGUGUGUGAAUUGAAGCAGUGGUUUCCAACAGGAGGGUCGUGACUCCCACAAGGGGUCACUGGAUUAAUCAAAGGGGUUGCGAGAUGAUAGGACAGGAUAGGAUACAGAAGACUGAUAGUUAAAUGCAACAUGCGACAAGGGGUUCCAGGCAGUGGCGGUUUCUCCCAGGGGCCAAAGUUUUGCACAGUUUUGCCAUUGCCCUUCAAACAUUCCAUGUAUUAUCAUAUUUUCUUCUUUAGCUGCAGUGAGAGAAACAGCGUCCCUCUGCUCUUCAUGCAUUACAAUGUGUAUCUGAUGUUCUCUGCUCUGUUUAGUGGUCGUUGAAAUCAGAGGAGGCCAGAUUCGCCUCCUCUGAUUUCAUUUAGCCAAUCAGAUUUAGUUCAGGAUCAACACUGAAUGGUUACUUCAGUAACUGUGAUAUCUUUGAGUGAUUUAUAUGAUCCCUAUCAUAUGGCACCAUGAUCUCCAUACCAAGCUUUCUGGCUUCGUCAAUAAAAUUUGCCACACACCGCUAUUGGUCCCAGAGGGACUUUGUUUUAUUUUAAGGGCACACUUGCCAGUAAGGUUUGGAAACAACUGAUUAAAGGACUACUUUAAUCUAAACACUCCACAGAACCAUAAAUUGAGUAAAUCCACUUAUUUGGGUGUGAGUGUUUUAUAAAAAGUGCAACUUAAAAUAUUAUGGCAUUUUGUCGUGCAUGGUGGUAUCGAUGGCUUUAGUCGUCUCAUCGUGUACCUGAAGGCCGCUACCAACAAUCGCGCAGCAACAGUCCUGAGAAGCUUUCUAGAAGCUGUCGAUGUCUACGGUGUGCCAUCACGUGUGAGGUCAGAUAAAGGCGGGGGAAAUGUUGACUUUGCACGCUACAUGGUGGCUAAUAGAGGACCUGACAGGAAUUCGCAUAUUGCUGGAAGGAGUGUCCAUAAUCAAAGGUAACAUUUUUUUUAAAUCAAACAUUUAUCUAUAUAGUAUUUUUUUGGAAAAGAUGGCAACACAAACCUUUUCACUUUUUUCAUAGGGCUGAAGUUUUAUCCUGCCCAUUAUUGUUUAAUUAAAGGAUAAUUUUCAAGUCUGUCUUAAUACAGUAUCUAUGUGGCCAUAUGUAUGCUAAAUGUUUUUAUAUUGUCUUUAGAUUUAUAUAUCAUAAUAUUAUAUGGCAUAAGUGUUGUCUUUUCCUGGUUUUAAAUUCUGCAUUACAGUAAAGUGAUUUUUUAAAGUAAUUUUCUUUAUCAAAAAUAUCAUUGUGUUAAUAAUUUGUGAGAGUACUAACAGUCAUCCCUACAAUAUUGUUGCAGUAUCAGCAUCAAGGUAUUUGGUCAAAAAUAUAGUGUCAUUCGAUUUUGUCCAUAUCACCCAGCCCUACUGUACUGUUCAUUAAUUUGCAAAAUAACCAACAUUUAUGUUUUUAUUAUAAUAAUGCCUCGUAGUGUUUCCAUAGAUAGUUUCUCCCUCUUUGGUAAAGGUAUAGUAACACAGAUCAUUUUGUGCUUCAGAGAUUGCAACUUUCAUAGACCCCAAAUUGAUCUAACUAACCCAGUCAUCUCAUUUUAACUUAGCUGUACUUAAAAAUGCAUUCUUACACAGAAGAAUAACUGCAUUCUGUCUUGUCCCCCAUGAACCUUUAUUGGUUAUUGAGACUGAAUAUUGAAUACAGAACAUAAUGUAUUUCCUACAGUUCUGACUUUCAUUUCCCAAAAGUAUCUUCAGGCUGAGAUAGUCGCAAAAUCAAACUUAAAAUCCUUCUUAAGUUUAGAUGCGUUUCCCAAAAGCAUCGUAAUUGAAUACUUAAAAAUUAGAGUAGAUCAACAAGUGACUCGCAUAGAAGGCUGAGAGCCCCUUUAAAAGAAGCACUGGAACCUGCAGGAGGAACCAAAAACUAAAUAUUGAAUUAAAUUUUAUCAUCCACCUCCUCACACUCUUCUUGCAUAAUACUGUGUGUAACCUAUGUUGUAUGCUGCCACACGCUUACAGCAAGUCUAAUACAGAAAUUUUCAGAGAAUGAUGUGGUUUUCCUUUUUUCCAUCAGAAUAGAGAGGCUCUGGAGAGACGUUUAUGUGGGAGCACUUGAUCUGUUCUACACAAUCUUUACCAACCUUGAGAGAGAAGGCCUCCUAAAUCCGGACAACGAAGUGCAUCUCUAUGCUCUACACUGGUGCUUCAUGCCUCACAUUCAGAGGCACCUUGAGAGUUUCCAGUAUGGCUGGAACUGCCACCGACUGAGAACUGAGGGAAAUCAGUCCCCACUUCAACUGUGGACUUGCCAUGAGCAUGAGGCACAGCAGGACCCCAUGCAGGUUAGAAUUUAGUAUGUUUGUGUGUGAUUGUAUUUAUAUAUUCAUAAAUAAUUUAGUGUAAUUUUGAACAUUGAACAAAUUUUUGAUUUUUUUUUUUUAACUAGGUACUAUUAUGUUACCAGGUAAACAAAUGGAAGAUGGCUUUCAGGUCUUUAGAUAAUGACCACAAUGACUUAAUCACUGAUUAUGGCUGUUCACACCACUCUUUUAUCUUUCCCAUCUAUCCUUAUAUCCUUUAAUUACCGGUUGACUCGGAGUAUGGACCCUGUGGUCAUCGGCAGGCAGAUGUUGUGGUCCCUGAAGUCCAGCUUCAGCGCUCACUGACCGUGCAGGAAGUAGAACAUCUACCAGAGCCUGAUGGCCAGUGUGUUACAUGUGAACAUACAAACUGUGAGCCUGUUAUCCGAAAUGCUGCAGUAAACUCUCGUUUCUUUCUUUGAUCAAUGGUGACGGCGAGGAGUCAGGAGUGUAACCAAGCCAGCAGGAGUGUAACCAAGACUCAGGUGGAGGUAGAGAACGGAGAGGAAGAGGAGAAAGAGGCACAAACAGGCCAGGUGUCCUCCAGAGAGUGUGCCAUCAUGUGAAGUCUUCAUGUCCUGUCGCUGGCCUUGACUUCCACAUUAUAUCUUUUUUUUCUCCAGAGCCACUCAGAUGUGAUCCUGGUCAUUGCCUCAUCAUGUGAUGUUUUUUAUUGUUCAAGACGAUAUUAGAAUUUUUUGGACUAAUGUUUCUACUACUCUCCACAUUCCUGGACCUGCUUUAAUAGGAGUCACUUCUAUAAAACAAUACAUGUUUUCCCACCCCUACUAACAUUACUCUACUUCCACUGGCUGUCUUUCACUCUUCCUUAGUAAGCCUUUUGGUUUCAUCCUUAAUGAACAGUACAAGUCUAUAAAGAACCUGCCAUAUUUUCAACAUAAAGGACCUACACUGUAUAGCUUCAAAAUCAAGACCAAGUGUUUCCCAUCUAUAAUAUUUAUUUGUGUGGUUACCCAGUUAGGUUUUGCCCCUCUUAACAUUUUCCUCUGUACUUUCUAUUGAUGUCUUUUUUUGAAAGAGCUGAAUGGGAAUGCAGAUGAAACUGGGUUGAUUGAAAAACCUGCGGAAAUUCUGCAUUAAUGUGUGAUUUUGGGGGAAAACUGAUUUACCCCAGUCAAACGUUAGCCUGUGAAUCCACUGCUGGUUUGCAGACAGUUGUCAAGUGUUGGACUUAAGAAUUCAGACCACCACAAAUGAAGUCCAGACCUUUGGGUCAGACCCCCCCUCUCUGCUUCAUCUCGGUCCUCCAUGCCUCUCCUCUUCUUUGUUUCUUCAAAGAUAGCUACAAUGAAAUGUGAUAGUUGAUCUGAUCUCAGUCUUACUUGGGGUGAGUCAGCAGCAGUGACCAGUUAACAUCAGAUUCUUCUGAACAGUACACUAUGUAUAUGUGAAUGAAAACCUCUAAUGCACACUAAAAAUCUGGAGUCCUGUGACAAAUAGUUGAUGUGUAACAAUUACUGAAAUGUAUGUAAGCACACUGCAGAGUGUAGAGAUGAACCUGUGACAGCAUCAAAGAGCUGUAACAUCAUUAGAUUUCACAGCCAUAGACGUGUUCACUCUGUUAUAAUAAGUUGUGAUGCAGCAACAUUGCUGGUCUUAAAACACUGAGUGACCAACGUGUGGCCGCACUUGUACCUGCUGCAUGUGGGUUUGGUGUGUUGAUCCCAGUUAAAAGAAACGCCAUCUUGACUGGCUUCAUCAGCGUGAAAUAUUAAACUGACGGAACAUUUAAGUAAACACAAGGUAAACGGUGAAAGCAACACUUGUAUGAGGUGAUGUUCAGAUUAUCCCCAGCUGUAUCCUCGUGUUAUUUUUGCAGUACAUUGUACAAGAGUUGCUGUUAUUGUUUACACAGCUUGUGUGCAAUCUCGGCAAACUCAAAUUUUUUUCUUGUGUGUUUGUAUGCUGUGCUUUAUAUUACUAGUUAAAUUCCUAUAGAGCUUUUGUCAAUGUAAUCUGUUUACAUGAAAUAUUAUUAUGUUGUGUUUAGGACCUCUGGGGUGAUUAAGGUUGGGUGUUUGUGAUCUGAAAAGAAGGGUAAGGAUAGAAUGUGAUAACACUGAACAUUCCUAUAGUCUUUACAUGGUAAGAGAAGGAUAUGAAAACAAUUGAGUUUCAUAAGUGACUG